rnacentral:rRNA from 1 species
CCUACGGGAGGCAGCAGUGGGGAAUCUUCCACAAUGGGCGAAAGCCUGACGCAGCGACGCCGCGUGAGGGAUGAAGGGCUUCGGAUCGUAAACCUCUGUCAGCAGGGAAGAACGGUCAUUGUACUAAUCGUCCGUGCAUUGACGGUACCUGCAAAGGAAGCACCGGCUAACUCCGUGCCAGCAGCCGCGGUAAUACGGAGGGUGCGAGCGUUAAUCGGAAUUAUUGGGCGUAAAGCGCUCGUAGGCGGUAUGUCAAGUCAAGGGUGAAAGCCCCGCGCUUAACGUGGGAACUGCAUUGGAAACCGGGAAACUUGAGUGGAGGAGAGGAUAGUGGAACUCCAGGUGGAGGAGUGGAAUGCGUAGAUAGAUGGAGGAACACCAGUGGCGAAGGCGACUAUCUGGCAUAUAACUGACGCUGAGGAGCGAAAGCGUGGGUAGCAAACAGGAUUAGAUACCCCGGUAGUC